rnacentral:rRNA from 1 species
UAACCAGCGUCAAGCAGAAACGACUAUAUAUUAUAAUUUUUGAAGUUUCUGCUUCACGCCAAAUCAAGUGCCAACACAAAGGGAGCUGAGUAUUGAAUGUUGAAUGCAGGAUAGCGGCGGACGGGUGAGUAACGCGUGGGCAACCUGCCUCAUACAGGGGGAUAACACAGGGAAACUUGUGCUAAUACCGCAUAAUAUCAUUGGGUGGCAUCACCUGAUGAUCAAAGGAGAAAUCCGGUAUGAGAUGGGCCCGCGUCCGAUUAGUUAGUUGGUGAGGUAACGGCUCACCAAGGCGACGAUCGGUAGCCGAACUGAGAGGUUGAUCGGCCACAUUGGGACUGAGACACGGCCCAGACUCCUACGGGAGGCAGCAGUGGGGAAUAUUGCGCAAUGGGGGAAACCCUGACGCAGCAACGCCGCGUGAAGGAAGAAGGCCUUCGGGUUGUAAACUUCUUUGAUUGGGGACGAAGGAAGUGACGGUACCCAAAAAACAAGCCACGGCUAACUACGUG